rnacentral:rRNA from 1 species
UUGGCGGUAUUUUAGUCUUUCUGGAGGUACCUGUCCUGUAAUUGAUAGCCCACGAUAAUAUUUACUUAUUCUAUAAAUUUAUAUAUCGUCGUAGUAUGAAUAUUUUAGAAGAAUAUUAAUAUUCAAGAUUUAAAAUAAUAAAAUAAAUCAGAUCAAGGUGUAGUUUAUGAAUAAGAAGAGAUGGGUUACAAUUUAAUUAUAAUUGGAUAUUAUUAUUUAAUAAAUAAUUGAAAUUGGAUUUGAAAGUAAUUUUUUAUAUUUUUUAAAAAUGAUUUUGGCUCUAAAAUAUGUACAUAUUGCCCGUCGCUUUUGUUUUUAAAAUGAAAUAAGUCGUAACAAAGUAGAUUUACUGGAAAGUGAAUCUAGAAAA